ACGACAAUGACAUUUCCUGGUUAUCCGAACUUCCGGCAGAACUGGACGAUUGCAUUGCUCAUCGAGACCUUGAUCAAGCUGUUGAGCUUAUUCACGAAUGGAAACAGUGCCCGACGAAAGAUGCUGUAAUUGAUAUUCAGUUGCAAAUGAGAGAGAAUACGGUAAUUUUUGCAUAGAAAAUUUCGAAAAUUUGGCAAAAUUUCAAAAAUUUUGCAAAAUCCCAUUUAAAAAGAUUUUUCAAAAAUUAUCAACAAAAAAUAAAUCGAAGAGAUUUCUAGAUUUUCCAAAAAAUUUGUUCAUUUUUAAGAGAAAAUCAGUAAAAAUUUAAAUUUAAAAAAAAAUAGAAAAAUUUCUCAAAAAAUCAAGAACGAAAUUCUUACAAGCAGAAAUUUUUUUCGACUUUCACAAAAGUUUAUCAACAAAAAUUGAAAUACCAAAAACUUAGUUUCAAAUGACUCAUAUCAAAAAAUCAUUCCAGAUUGUCCAACUGCUCAGCGACGAUGUAAGCCGGCCCGGCGCAGUACACGGAGGCCCGAGAGCCAUGAAAAAAGCCCGAACUCUUCUAACCCAAUUAGGCCGUGGAACCUACGCAACAGAUGUCUAUUUAAGACGGAGAAGUGCAAUGCAACGAAGUGCAAUGCGUGAUGUAACAGUAUCAGAAGAACCAAUAUCAUAUGUAAAGCAACUAUGUACAUUAUAUGGAAAUGCAGUAUCUGAUAUUGCAAAUGAAUUCCGAUCAAUGCCUCAAUACUAUUGUCAAGUACUUCAAUGGUGUUCUUAUGAAUUAAGUACUCUAUUGAAUUUGAUCAGAAGACAUGUUAUUGAAGUUGCACCUGCAAUUGCUGUAAUUGCAUAUACGUGGAAGAAUGUAAUGCAUACAAUGGAAGAUCUCACUGCAAUUGGUGUUCAUUUGAAUUUCGAAGUCAAUCGGCUUUUAAGUAUUCCCCUCGAGAAAUCUCUACAAGGAAACUUUGAAAAUAUCUGUGAUGCUGUGAAAAUGCGGAUUUCGGAGGAAAAAUGGAGGCCCUACGUGCUGGAAUCGGAAUCUGCACUGAAUCGACUCGUUGAGGAGCUUUCCGAUGUUGGGAUUAAUGUGGAAUGGGCGAUUUCUGCAAAUGAUGAAUCGAGAAGCUCGUUGAAUGUUUCGCAGAAUGUUGUGCAUUUUGCGAAAGUUGCACAUACUCUUUCGAAGGAUUUGGCGCCGCUUAGAUUG
rnacentral:sRNA from 1 species